rnacentral:lncRNA from 1 species
GGCAACCUUAUACUCUAUAGAAUGCCAGAGCUGGAAUGGACCUCUGACAUCACCUGAUCUAACUCCUUGAUUUUACAAAAGAGGAAACUGAGGUUUAAAGCAAGAGACUUGAUCAAAAAUCAAAGCUAAUUGGUUGUAGAACCAAAAUAUAAUGGACUGGGUGGGAGUUGAGGGAGAGACUGGACUUGGAAAGAUGGGUCAUUCACUUCAGCUUAAAAGUAAAUGAAACUCAGGUGUCCUUAGGAAACAGAUUUGAAGAGUCCAAUUUGACUCCUGGGCAAUAUCUCUGGGUGCUGAGUACUUGAGGAUGGGAGGUGUGGAACCCAGAGAGCCGGAGAAGGAGUAUUUGGGACAGGAGACCAGACAAGAUUUAUUGCCUCUUCUGACACUGACCUUGUAGGUGGAAAAGUCAUCAUUGUGCACAUGAGUCAUCAUUACUCCUCAGAGCUGCAGAAAUGCUGGCCAGUGGAAUUUUUUUGCUGUGGAGAGAAGGUUGGAUAAGUCACUUUUUAACUGUAACUUCUCAGUAUAG